GAACGGCCGCUUUCCUUAGUAAUCCACAUUUCAGUGCAAUAUACUUCCAAAACUAUUUGUAACUUCUUUCACCGUUCUCAUGGCAGGACACUCGUGCGGCUAUAGCUCCUCCGGCAACUUAUAGUUUCAGAAGUAAAUUUUCCCUUAAAUUUUUGCGUUCUGCCUUGGAAUGGGGCCGCCGCUGCAGGGAUUCGAACACGCGACCUCGUGCUCAGUCUAUCCGCUAGUAUAUCGGCUGUGAAGCAAUUAAUUGAAAAGUUAUUUAGCUAAUUUUCUAUAGUUUAUUACGCCGUUCGAUUUCUCGCUCAAGUAUAAUGUCCGCCUCUUCGACUAUUCCAACUCAAGGACUAUAAUUGCGCUAUCUGCCAAAGGCGUUUUAAAACCAUUCUGCAAGAUUUGAAGAAAACAAAAGAAAGAAAACGGCACCCCGCAUUUACGCUUAUAUUUGCAAUUCUCUGGAUAACAGGUUACGUAGCCGGAGAAAGAAGGGGCAGAUAAACCUAGGAUGAAUUAUGCACUACAUGCUGAAAAUAACGUCAGAGCUGCGCUUAGAGCGUUACAAGUGCCCGCUCAUACGAACUGCCGCUUGCACCUCCUUGAAACACACAAGCGCGCGUCUCAACUCCGUGCAGUCAAAGUAAAUGGCGCCGUCUGCUGUACUACCUCGCCGUCGCUGCGGUUCUCGUGUACUGCGCAGUACUCAUCGUGGCCAGAAUCAGCACACGUGAAAGGAACGUAGCCACGGCCAGAAGAGAAACUACAAUAACCAUGGUUUCAACGGCUGCUCCUGCAGACACAGACUCGGCGACAAAUGUUUCCACGAGAAUCUUAACAAGUUUGCAAAGCGAUGAUUCGACAUUAUCUUCGGCAUCAGCGUCAAGACUUCGACAAGGACGAGGCGGAAAACGCGCCAUUCAAGCUGCGUCUACUUCAACAGCUUCAAGACGCCGAAGUAGCAGCGCUACAUCGAGCUUAACAAAUUUAUGAGUUCUCACCGUAUAUAUAUGGCGGCUGCUUGCGAGUGUCACAACAGGGAACUCGCGUGUGCCAAUGCGGGACAGCCACUCAGGACGAUUGACGGCGUCUCGCUCUCGUACAUAAGUAUAAAGAAACAGCAGCUGCUGAUCUCUGCAAUUAACGGCAGCCGUCUUGGACAUCAUACUUAA